GAUGAACGCUGGCGGCGUGCCUAAUACAUGCAAGUCGAGCGAACAGACGAGGAGCUUGCUCCUCUGACGUUAGCGGCGGACGGGUGAGUAACACGUGGAUAACCUACCUAUAAGACUGGGAUAACUUCGGGAAACCGGAGCUAAUACCGGAUAAUAUAUUGAACCGCAUGGUUCAAUAGUGAAAGACGGUUUUGCUGUCACUUAUAGAUGGAUCCGCGCCGCAUUAGCUAGUUGGUAAGGUAACGGCUUACCAAGGCAACGAUGCGUAGCCGACCUGAGAGGGUGAUCGGCCACACUGGAACUGAGACACGGUCCAGACUCCUACGGGAGGCAGCAGUAGGGAAUCUUCCGCAAUGGGCGAAGGCUUGACGGAGCAACGCCGCGUGAGUGAUGAAGGUCUUCGGAUCGUAAAACUCUGUUAUUAGGGAAGAACAAAUGUGUAAGUAACUAUGCACGUCUUGACGGUACCUAAUCAGAAAGCCACGGCUAACUACGUG
rnacentral:rRNA from 1 species